UGUUUAUCAUCGAGCUUUACAUUGUUGUUGUGCUUUUCCGCGAUCUAAAUAUAAGCACAGCAUUUGUACUGACUCCACGGAUACAGCACCUUAAUAAGUGUUGUAACGAAAUUUUCGAUUAACAUUUUUCGCUUUGACUUACUGACUUACUGAAAAGAUUUAAUUACUUAAGGACGAGAAAAAGCACAUGAAAAGAGAAUGACACCUGUAUCUAUAAACAAAUAUAUGAAAGAAAUCGAUAUAUAUAUCAGAUCGAUCAAGAGAAAACGUAAGUCAUGUAAAAACAAGCGCACGAUUCGCAAGCUUAAUCAGGCGAAAAAGAAAAUGAUGGCGUUAUGGAACAGGACGGACAUUAGCAAAAAGAAGAAGUUCAAAAAAAUUGUAAUGAGCUAUGAGAGUCAUACCUUCCGAAUUGGAGGAAUUGGGUGUGCUUUCUGGUCCCGAGGUAGCGCUGACAUCCUUCACACCGUGCUGCAAGGAAUCCGUAUUUGAGAAUUUUGCACGUGGCGCAAAUAUAUCGGCUUCUUAUUUUGUUCAUCGCUAGAUUUCGUUUCAAAGAUCAGAAGAACGCGAAUCACACGUUCGGCCACUUACCUCCGGCGAUAUCUCCUGCCAGUUUCCGUUCUCCGUUAGAGCGACCUGUUACAUUAGUAAAUACACAGCACUCAACCACGGUUAAUUCUUUCAUGAAACAGAAAAAACGUACUCGCUUCGUGUUAAAGUAUAAAAUAAGAGAACGCAAGUGGCGCGAUGGGCAAUGGGCUUUGAUCAACGAACGCUUCAAAUUCGCAGCUUGCCAAUCUUCACUUUCAGCAUGCCAGAUGUCUGUUCGUCCGUUGCGUCACGUUGAAAGACGAUCGCUUCGAGGUGGAGUAUUUAUAUAUGUUUUUUUCGCAACCAUAUUUCAAAUUAGCCAAUAAGAGCCGAACGCUGGAUACACGGAGAAAAUAAUUCUGUUAAUGUAACUGAAUUUUCUGUUACUUGGAGAUCCGAUCAAAAAACUCGAUUUUAGGAACAGAAAGAUUCCUAUAGAAAGUUUCAACCAAUUACUCAAUUAUCUUAACUCACACAAUGAACAUGACCAGAUCGACAUGAGAGAGAGAGAGAAAGAGAGAUCAGAGUGAUUUUGAUUUCUAGAUAUCCUAUUCCAGUUUUUUAUGAGAAAAACAUAAUAAUAUUCAUUUUUGAGGUUUAGGUUGCCUACUAAAGAACGCCAAAGUUAGGAAAAACGUUUCCUUAUAAUUUAUAUUGAGUGAUAGCUCAAGCGAAAGAUCUUGUCAAGUAUCUUCACUUCCUCGUGGUGUAUACUGCGUAAUGCAAAAUGAUCUGUCAAUAUUUACAUAUGUGCAUAUAAAUAAUUAAUCUAUAACAUCCUUUAUCGUAUAAACUAUAAAUCACAGAUAUUUAAAAAUAUAUCUAUAUUCUGAAUCUAUUCGACGAAAUUUUUCAUUUCAGCUAUUGUUUAAUAUAGGUUAUACACAAAUGUCUAUACUAAACUAGAUUGCUAACAAGCUAUCUAAAAGCAUAUAAGGGUUUGCGUCCGAUAGAGUUUCCGGUGUAUCCGAGAAAAUGGCCGCCACAUAUUUUCACUACGUUUAAUCAUAAAAUUCUUU